AUCUUUAUAUUACUAUGAAGAAAGCAGAGGCUCAACAACAUGAAGUGGUUUUCCUAGGUCAUCCACUCAGGCCAAGGUCGGAGCCAAGAUUCAAAGUGAGGCCCAAUGCAAAAUCUAGCCUUUACUCUGCUACAUUUGUGGACACACAUGCAUAGAGUCAUUCAAACAUGUAAGUCUAAUAACUUUCUCAUUGCUUUCCAAAAAAGUUUUACAGUAUUUGUUCAACCUACUUCACAGGUAAGGGUGAAGAGCAGAAAGAAGAAUAUGGCACCAGGGAAUCUGAACUUUGAUCCUUAUAGAGGAAAUUGUGAGGGAGGAAGAGCACUGGGUUGGCCAGAAAAGGACUUUGGUGUAAAUCACAAAGGCACUCUGUCUCAAUCAGUGGAGAAGAAGAGAAGAGCUGUGCUUCAACUCUGGAGCCAUCUUGACCUGGAAGUCCCAGCAUCCAAAUUUUUAAAAAGAGAAGCUAUUGAAAUUUAA
rnacentral:lncRNA from 1 species